rnacentral:rRNA from 1 species
CAACUUUCAGCAGUGGAUGUCUAGGCUCGCACAUCGAUGAAGAACGCUGCGAACUGCGAUACGUAAUGCGAG